GCAUGGGGUAAUAAAUCAUAAAGAAUAAAAGUUUUGGAAAUAAUGCUUCUAUCCUUUAUUGUUUUAACAAUUUCAUGGACUGGAUUUAUGUUGCUGUUUUCAGCUUUUCUUGUGAUGCCUUGGCAGGUGACCCUGCGUUGAUUGGGCGUAAUAGGCCAUUUCCAGUCACGCACUAAGCUGCAGAGAGGUGGUUGCAUCAUAUGGAGAAGGCAUUAGAGAGCACCCCAUACAUCGAUGCCAAUUCAAAACUCAAAAUGAGGAAAUUUUUUAGGCACACUGCAUUCUUUCUCGUGGCUGGUGAUGAGUUGAAGAAUCAAAACCAACGAGUUCCAUGAGAGCAUGGGGCCAGCAAACCAGCUGCAUCAUAAAUUUACUAACGGGAAUCCUUACGCAGCCAUGGAUGUCGGCUUUCAUUAACCAUGUAUCGUUGUAACUUGUAACAUACACAGUCGUUUUAUAUGAAUAAAUCGUGAACCUUUUACAUUAA